UACAUCGGAACGUAUCCUAAAGUGGGGGAUAACGCAUCGAAAGAUGUGCUAAUACCGCAUACACUCUGAGGAGGAAAGUAGGGGAUCGAAAGACCUUAUGCUUUUGGAGCGGCCGAUGUCUGAUUAGCUAGUUGGUAAGGUAAUGGCUUACCAAGGCAACGAUCAGUAGUUGGUCUGAGAGGACGACCAGCCACACUGGGACUGAGACACGGCCCAGACUCCUACGGGAGGCAGCAGUGGGGAAUUUUGGACAAUGGGCGCAAGCCUGAUCCAGCAAUGCCGCGUGAGUGAAGAAGGCCUUCGGGUUGUAAAGCUCUUUCAGUUGAGAAGAAAAGAUUGUGACUAAUAAUUGCAAUUCAUGACGGUAUCAACAGAAGAAGCACCGGCUAACUACGUG
rnacentral:rRNA from 1 species